rnacentral:sRNA from 1 species
UCGCUGCGGUGCGUCCUACUACUAUAUU